CUCAAGUCCUCCAUUAAAGAAACAUAAUAACAUAUUAUAAUGCAUUGUCCUAACCCAUCAAAUGAUUAAAAUACUAAUCAAGACACUAAACCAGCUGCAGAAACCACUGUUCUCAAACCAAAACAGCCUCCAAAACCACAAAACAGAGUCUAAUAUACUAUCUAGAUGCUUCAACUCUUUGAUCCUGCUUCUUUCUCUUUAGUUCUCUUUCGCUUACAAUUCUCGAUCUUCCUUUUCACACUCCCUUUACCAAAUCUUGCCCAUAGUUUUCAAAACCAGCAGUCUUUCCUCGGCAAACCCACCUCUCGAAACUUAUAUCUAUCACCACCUCUAAUGCACCUCAAAACCAACAAUUAGUCAACUCUCUUUUUGGUAUCUUAAACCCAUCUUUCUAAAGUUUCGAUCUUUUUAACGUUUUAACAUUUGUAUUAUUACAUGGAAGCUGCUAAUCACCUCGGCUCAACUGCACAUCCCAGCUCGACACCGGCUCGUGUCCCUGGCAGCGCCUCCACAGGGACUUUGGGCCGCCAUUUGGCUCGGCGACUGGUGGAGAUCGGCGUCAGUGAUGUCUUCUCUGUCCCUGGAGACUUCAACUUGACUCUUUUGGAUCAUCUGAUUGCAGAGCCCGGGCUGAAUUUGAUCGGUUGCUGUAACGAGCUGAACGCUGGAUACGCUGCCGAUGGUUAUGCACGUUCCAGAGGCGUAGGGGCCUGCGUGGUGACUUUCACUGUGGGUGGUCUCAGUGUGAUUAAUGCCAUCGCUGGUGCUUAUAGUGAGAAUUUGCCCGUGAUUUGUAUCGUUGGCGGUCCAAAUUCUAAUGAUUAUGGGACUAACCGGAUUUUGCAUCACACUAUUGGGUUGCCUGAUUUUAGUCAGGAGCUCAGGUGCUUCCAAGCAGUCACCUGUAUUCAAGCAGUAGUGAAUAACUUGGAUGAUGCGCACGAACAGAUUGACACUGCAAUUUCUACUGCUUUGAAAGAAAGUAAGCCCGCUUAUAUUAGCAUAAGUUGUAAUUUGCCUGGAAUUCCUCAUCCAACCUUCACUAGGGAACCUGUGCCAUUCCUUCUUGCUCCCAAUGUAAGCAAUCAAUUAGGAUUAGAGGCAGCUGUAGAAGCGACUGCUGAAUUUCUGAAUAAAGCUGUGAAACCUGUCAUUGUGGGGGGACCUAAAUUAAGGGUGGCAAAGGCGCAGAAGGCCUUUUUAGAGCUAGCAGAUGCCAGUGGGUAUCCAGUUGCUGUUAUGCCCUCAGGCAAAGGGCUAGUGCCAGAACAUCAUCCACACUUCAUUGGGACAUACUGGGGUGCUGUCAGCACAGGAUUUUGUGGGGAGAUAGUGGAGUCUUCUGAUGCCUAUGUUUUUGUUGGCCCUAUCUUCAAUGAUUACAGCUCUGUUGGAUAUUCCUUGCUGAUCAAGAAGGAGAAAGCAAUCAAAGUGCAUCCUAAUCGUGUGACUGUAGGCAACGGCCCUUCCUUUGGCUGGGUAUUUAUGGCUGACUUCUUAAGUGCAUUGGCCAAGAAGUUGAAAAAGAACAGCACAGCCAUGGAAAAUUACAGACGUAUCUUUGUACCUCCAGGUGUCCCGCUGAAGAGUGAGAAAGAUGAACCUCUUAGGGUCAACAUACUCUUCAAGCACAUUCAGCAAAUGCUAAGUGGAGAAACUGCGGUAAUUGCUGAAACUGGAGAUUCAUGGUUCAACUGUCAGAAACUCCACCUCCCUGAGAAUUGUGGCUAUGAAUUCCAGAUGCAGUAUGGAUCUAUUGGAUGGUCAGUUGGUGCCACUCUUGGAUAUGCUCAGGCUGCCCCAAAUAAGCGUGUGAUUGCUUGCAUUGGCGAUGGAAGUUUCCAGGUUACAGCUCAGGAUAUUUCAACAAUGAUCCGUUCCGGACAAAGGAGUAUAAUAUUCCUCAUCAACAAUGGGGGUUAUACAAUUGAAGUAGAGAUUCACGAUGGCCCCUACAAUGUGAUCAAGAACUGGGAUUACACUGGCCUUGUCAAUGCCAUCCACAAUGGUGAAGGCAAAUGCUGGACAGCAAAGGUUCGCACGGAGGAUGAACUGACAGAGGCAAUUGCAACAGCAACUGGAGAACAAAAGGAUUCUCUAUGUUUCGUUGAAGUUUUGGUGCACAAGGAUGACACUAGCAAAGAGCUGUUGGAAUGGGGAUCCAGAGUUUGUUCUGCAAACUGCCGUCCUCCAAAUCCACAAUAAUGAUUUGGUUUUUUUGUUUUCAUAAAUAAGCAGAAUGGAAAUCCAAGCAACAUGAGCCUAGCUUGGUACCAUAAUCUAAAUCAUAAUCAGAAAUGAUUACAUGUUUGUAUGAGAUUCCUCAGAGGGUUCUGUCACUCUUUAGUCUGUACUGCUUUUCCUUUCAAGCCAUGUGAUUAUAACCAUUGUAUGAUGUGCAUUAAAUUUUGUGGCGGUUGCAGUAACGAAUUCAAUAAACUAAGUGUGAUGCGCGGCGUUUGCAAUUUUUAGAUUUCUGUUGGCGUGUUCUAGAUCAUUUUCAUAUGCAAAGUUCAUAGACAAGUUGUUCUGCCGGACCCCUUAUUUUGUUACAGGCUUUAAUGCAUUCAUAGCUCUUAUCUUUCUUGUAACAUGGGCACUAUAAAGAUCAUUGUCAUAUUCUUGAUACAGGGACAAUCACCACUGUCAUGUAAGAUGGGCCUGUUCAUGAUAGCAUUAUAAGCGAAAGGAAUGUCCUUAAUUACAAAUUCUAUAGAAAAUUUUUUCACAUGACGUCCUUGUCUCAGCUUGACUUCCAAGAUUGAAGCCCCUUUGAACUACACAGGUUAAGAAGAGAGUGAAAUUUAGCAAGGUCACUUUUGGGAUGAGCUUGAACUUUACUGGGAAGGGCUUUUGGAGAAUCUGACUGGACAUGGGAGAUUCAUCACUUAACA
rnacentral:misc_RNA from 1 species